AACAAGGCGUACCUGCGGACCUGCGGAGGGAUCAUUACAGGACUCGCAAGACUCCUUAAACCCCUGUGAACUUACUGUUUAUACGUUGCUUCGGCGGGUGCUCCGGGGUCCGCCCCGGGGCGCUGCGCCCGCCGGCAGCCUACUUAAUUCUGUUUCUCUGCGUUGGCAUCUCGAGUAAGCAAAAUAAGUUAAAACUUUUAACAACGGAUCU
rnacentral:misc_RNA from 1 species